rnacentral:lncRNA from 1 species
UUAAGUCUCAAGUAAAUAACUAAACCAUUUAUCCUGAGAUCUGUUAAUUAACUUUAUCAAGAGUAGGAGAUGAAUAAACACCUAAGUACCUAGGUGCCAGUAAAAUAGUAAUUUCUGCUUAUAAUAAUACCAAUCCUCCAUGAAUCCCUACCUACAUUUUUGACUCUGAAGAAAAGCCUCUUAAGAGUUUUGUGUUUCUCCCUUGACUUUGCCCUGGUGCCUGACCUUUGAGCAGACACCCAACAGCUGAUGGGAAUUCAGAGCUGCUUGUUUGCUACUUCUGUAGGACGUUAUUUCAAGCCCAUCUGGUUCACAAUACUCCUGGGUCACCCCACAACUUGGUGUCUGAACCUGUCUGUCUGCAGUACUGAAUCAGAGUGGAGGACAAGGCUGACACUCAGGCAGGAGCAGCAGGAAGAGACCUCCACCAAAGGAUCUUCAAUCUUGGAACGUAUCACACUGGAGCUGGAAGUCACUGACCUCCAGCAGCGCAUAUAUGCAACCAACUCUCCACCUCAAAGAAAAC